UACAGAGGGUGCGAGCGUUAAUCGGAAUUAUUGGGCGUAAAGCGCAUGUAGGUGGUUGAGUAAGUUUGAUGUGAAAGCCCCGGGCUUAACCUGGGAAUUGCGUUGAAGACUGCUUAACUUGAGUCGGACAGAGGGCAGUGGAAUUUCCGGUGUAGCGGUGAAAUGCGUAGAGAUCGGAAAGAACACCAGUGGCGAAGGCGGCUGCCUGGGUCCAGACUGACACUGAGGUGCGAAAGCAUGGGGAGCAAACAGG
rnacentral:rRNA from 1 species